GAUGAAGAACGUAGCGAAAUGCGAUACGUAAUGUGAAUUGCAGAAUUCAGUGAAUCAUCGAGUCUUUGAACGCACAUUGCGCCCCCUGGUAUUCCGAGGGGCAUGCCUGUUCGAGCGUCAUAUUAACCACUCCCGCUUGCGGGGUCUUGGGCUUCGCCUCCGGGCGGGCCUUAAAAUCAGUGGCGGUGCCGUCGGGCUCUACGCGUAGUAAAUUUUCUCGCGAUAGGGUCCCGGUGGAUGCUUGCCAACAACCCCCAACUUCUUAAGGUUGACCUCGGAUCAGGUAGGGAUACCCGCUGAACUUAAGAAUAUCAAUAAGCGGAGGA
rnacentral:misc_RNA from 1 species